UUCGCCCUUAGAGUUUGAUCCUGGCUCAGGACGAACGCUGGCGGCGCGCCUAACACAUGCAAGUCGAACGAGCGAGAGGAGGUUUACUUUCUCAAGCGAGUGGCGAACGGGUGAGUAACGCGUGAGGAACCUGCCUCAAAGAGGGGGACAACAGUUGGAAACGACUGCUAAUACCGCAUAAGCCCACGACCCGGCAUCGGGUAGAGGGAAAAGGAGCAAUCCGCUUUGAGAUGGCCUCGCGUCCGAUUAGCUAGUUGGUGAGGUAAUGGCCCACCAAGGCGACGAUCGGUAGCCGGACUGAGAGGUUGAACGGCCACAUUGGGACUGAGACACGGCCCAGACUCCUACGGGAGGCAGCAGUGGGGAAUAUUGCACAAUGGGGGAAACCCUGAUGCAGCGACGCCGCGUGGAGGAAGAAGGUCUUCGGAUUGUAAACUCCUGUUGUUGAGGAAGAUAAUGACGGUACUCAACAAGGAAGUGACGGCUAACUACGUGCCAGCAGCCGCGGUAAAACGUAGGUCACAAGCGUUGUCCGGAAUUACUGGGUGUAAAGGGAGCGCAGGCGGGAAGACAAGUUGGAAGUGAAAUCCAUGGGCUCAACCCAUGAACUGCUUUCAAAACUGUUUUUCUUGAGUAGUGCAGAGGUAGGCGGAAUUCCCGGUGUAGCGGUGGAAUGCGUAGAUAUCGGGAGGAACACCAGUGGCGAAGGCGGCCUACUGGGCACCAACUGACGCUGAGGCUCGAAAGUGUGGGUAGCAAACAGGAUUAGAUACCCUGGUAGUCCACACUGUAAACGAUGAUUACUAGGUGUUGGAGGAUUGACCCCUUCAGUGCCGCAGUUAACACAAUAAGUAAUCCACCUGGGGAGUACGACCGCAAGGUUGAAACUCAAAGGAAUUGACGGGGGCCCGCACAAGCAGUGGAGUAUGUGGUUUAAUUCGACGCAACGCGAAGAACCUUACCAAGUCUUGACAUCCUGCGACGGUGCUGGAAACAGUACUUUCCUUCGGGACGCAGAGACAGGUGGUGCAUGGUUGUCGUCAGCUCGUGUCGUGAGAUGUUGGGUUAAGUCCCGCAACGAGCGCAACCCUUAUGGUCAGUUACUACGCAAGAGGACUCUGGCCAGACUGCCGUUGACAAAACGGAGGAAGGUGGGGAUGACGUCAAAUCAUCAUGCCCCUUAUGAGCAGGGCUACACACGUGCUACAAUGGCGUAAACAGAGGGAAGCGAAGGAGUGAUCUGGAGCAAAUCUCAAAAAUAACGUCUCAGUUCGGAUUGUAGUCUGCAACUCGACUACAUGAAGCUGGAAUCGCUAGUAAUCGCAGAUCAGAAUGCUGCGGUGAAUACGUUCCCGGGUCUUGUACACACCGCCCGUCA
rnacentral:rRNA from 1 species